AGGUCCCUCGGCUUAUAUUCGGGUCGGCUUAUACUCGAGUAUAUAUGGGCAGAACUGCUCAGCAACUACUGUGGCUCUGUCUUCACCCAAAACAAACGGAAUAUCCAACCUGGUAAAAACAGAAGUAAUGCUGUAGGAAGGUGGUGUGUGUGUGUGUGUGUCUAGACCAUGGAAGUAAAAAAGUGAAAUAAUUCCAUUCAUUAAUUAUUGCCCGCCAUGCAGGUUGAGCAUUAUAGGAAAUGAAGUUCAAAGAAAUGUAGCAUGCAUCACAUGUUUCAUCGCUUCAGUCAUUCAUACAGGGGAGUUAAAAUAAAGGACUCCUUGGAAGGACUCAAUCAACUCAGAAUGGCUGAGAUUCCUUCCCAUGCCUAUACACUUGACCUUUAGGUACAGGGAGAUUUGGCACUGAAUCUCAAAUUCAUUUGCCCCAUUGUUUAUCUUCUAAAUGUUAAUUCCUUAUGACUUAAUUAAUUUCACUCUUUACCUAAGGACUACAAUGUGCCAGUCCCUCAAGCUAGGCUUUGUCCCCUUUAUAAAGGAAGCAAGCAGGUCUUUGCUUCAAUAGAUAGUCUCCUGAAUAGAGUUUAGAGUUCUAGGAAGCUUCUGAAUCCCAGGACAAUGAAGAUCUGUUUCCUCUUUGUGUUUGCAGCUAUUGCCUGCAUCUUGGUGUCUGGAGAUGCAACAUCUUCAGAUGAAAUCUCUCAACCUGAUGCUUCUGCUGAAAGAAGCCUGGGCGAUGCUCAAGGCUAUGAAGAAAAGCUAUUAGGCGGUGGCUCUUAUUAUAGUCCAGGAGAUCAUCUGCCUCAGCUUGUGAGUGAAUUACUGUACAUAUUAGGCUGAGCAGCUGUCACUGAAGAGACUGUAUAAUUUUCAUUCUGUUGAGCAUUUAUGUUGGCAUCCUGAACAGAAUAAAAUAAAGUUGUCAACCCAUCCUGAAGAAAUGUGGCCUGUGUUUUGAUUUUCCUGACACUCAAAAGUUCAAUGCAGUUCACGAUCAUACUGCAACAUAUACCUUAGCUUUUUUGUAAAAUCAUCCUAAUCCUCAACAUAAUGAGGAGCAUUGUUUGAAAACCUGAUAUUAAGGAGUGCAUAUAAAGUUUCAUUCAGUUAAGCUGAUACCUUUAUAUCCUUUUCCUUGAGGUUAUUUUCACUACUGUAGAUU